ACAGCUAGACGGUCUCUCACUCAAACUGGAACACAGGAGUUUGUUCGGCUUCUCCGGGCAAUGAAGAUAAUAGAAGGAAUUCAAUUUUGUAUUUGCGCAGAGCAAGAUAAGAGGGAAAUACACAUGGAUUUUGAAAGCAGGGAGAGGAAGGCUGCAAGUCCUAAUCUAUGGCAGCGAGAUCCAAAGGAAGCAUCAAUUAGUGUCGUAUGGGCAGAAAUUCUGUAGCAGAUAAUGUAAAGGUUGUCGUACACCUAUCAAAUGGUAAUUUAUUUGAUUGUCAAAUCUUGGUAUUUGAUUUCCAUUAUAAUAUUGUUGCCUUAAAGAUCUCCCAACUGCGUGCUUGGCACAUUUGGAUGAUUCUAUCUCGGUUGAUCCCAAUCAGCUUUACGUUCUUGAAGAAAACGCAUUUCAGCUUCGCCCACAAUCAAAAUCAUUUAAUCUCAUCCCUGGGGAUACAUUAAUUGUGCUUGGACAUUAUUUUAUAAAGCCAUAUGAUGUCAUGGCUACUGUUGGUGAAUUCAGGUUAAAGCAAUAUAGUUUAACUCUACCUUUUAAUUUAAUUAUAUGUUGGACAGAUACACCGUUUCUAUUGUGAGCUAUUCCUAUGGUAUGAACUAUUUGUAUUAUGAGUAUACCUAGUUGCCAUGUUAAUCACUAACAUUGUUCUUUUUUCUUUUAGACUUGAUCACUGUGAAUAUGAUUAUAAAGAGUUGUUGAGGGUUAACUGCCAAAUCACAAGAUGUAGCAGUGGGGGACCACUUGUCAACUAUUAUGGGAAAGUCAUAAGAAUCUGUUUUCAUGUUUUGGGUUUUACUCCUUUUCUGCCAAUUAAUGUAGCUUCCAAAUGGAGGGAGCACUACAAGAGAUAUGGGUAUGCUCCAAAUCUUCGUAGCUAUCUUUUUACUGUCAAAUUAAUGAUGCAUAUAGUUUUUAUGUUUAAAUCUCUUCUCUUUUUCUUUUUAUCAUUUUAUUAAAGCAAAUAGCAAAGUGUACCUCAUGUCUUGCAUUUGGAGACAUUGCUAGUAUUUUUAAAAGAAACACAAGGUUGCUUAUAUAAUCAUGGUUUUAGAUAAUGGUCGUCAUGUUAUUUUAUGGUAUUAUUUAUAGGUUUUUAAGGGGUUCGUUACCUAUUAUCCCGUUAUUUAAAAAUAUCCUGUGACUUGUAUGGGUAACAACCAUUACAAUUGUUAACACAGUUAUUUGGCAUUAAGUAAUGGUAAUGGACUUUACCCCCAAUAAUGCUUUUGGUAAAAGAAACAUGCACACUGUUUUCUUGAACGUAUAAUUUUUUUACUUUCCCUUUUUGUUCCUUUUGAGAUGCACUUGGCUGUUACUUCAAGUUUCCUUUUAGAACUUGAGGUAACUACUGAUACUGUAUGAUAAGUUCCGUCAAAUCUUAAAAGGCCUUAUCAUAUGAACUUUUAGUUUUGAAGCAUAACACUUGUUUAUUUUUAAUUGAUAAACUCAAAUAGUCUAACGUGGUGUAUAUAUUACCCUUUUUUUUAUUAACUAUGGAACCUUAAGUUAAGCUUUCUAAGUCAUGAGUUUAAACCGGUCUUACUUAGGACUUCUUUGGCCUUUAUGGUAUAUUUAAAUGGACUCUUAGGAAUUGUGGAAAAUGUUCCAUGUGUAUGGUCAACACAAAUGAAAGAACUAAAAGUGGGUAAGAUGAUAUGUAUUAAUAUUCAAUCUAAACAUUUUAUGAGUUGUUUCUAUGGAAAGAAUUUACAAUGCAAUUUAAAUGAGUUAGCUUAGAAUUGAUAUUUUUCCAGAGAUUAGUUGGCCUAUGAUUCCCAUUAUCUAUAUUGCAUCUCUUUUUUGCGGCAAGUGUUCUGUAAGGUGUAAUAAAUUCCAUCUUAUUCCAUCAUAUGAUUUAUUUUUCUGAUGCUAUGCCUUUUUAAAAAGUGAACUUUAGUGUCCUUUUUAUAGGGGCAAUUUAUGCAUUCAGUUCAGUAUCUAUUUCUUGCUACUCUAAUGAUUAAUGUUGUGGCCUAAGGAACCCCGUCGACCCUGGCUUGGAAUGGAAGUGACUAACCUUUAUGCAGCUGAUAUGGAUGUUUUAGAGAAGAUCAUUCAGCAGUUCCCUAACGUAUUUAAAGGGGUCAUUGUUGAAGAGAUAUAGUCUGGUUUCAUGCAGCUUGUUUAUGAAGGAUUGUGCACAGUUUGUUUCUAAAGGAUCAUAGUUGUUUGUCUAAUAUCAUUAUCAAGUUGUAGAAAGAAUGAGAGACAUGAGGGCCUUGGGUUACCUCAGGCUAAGGUUCAAGGGACCUUUCAGGAUGUGAGGCAUACGUUUAUAGAAAAUGAGCUUAAAGCAAUAGUUAAUUUUCAGUCUCUGCAAAAGCAGCAAUGGUUGAAUCCAAGUCCAGUAAAAAGAGCAUUAAUAUUGUAAAGAGAUCACCAAUGAUGCCGUUAGAUAUAGUUUAACACAAAACACACUAGUGGGGUUAACAAUUUCUAGCUUCUUACUAGUCAAAAGAAAAAGAAAAAUUCUCUAGCUUCUACCUUCAAGCUUCGUCUUUGCGUAUGCACUCUAUGACCACAAUAGCAUUUUAGUUUCAUUCUAAAUGAAACUUGAUGAAUAGUAUAGUUUAGUUUAGUUUUUGGUUACCAUCCUAAAUGAAAUUUGAUGAAUAUAUUUGUUUAUUAGUAAUCUAGCUAAUUACUUGCUUAUUGUUUUGAUUGUUAUUUCACCUAUUAAUCAUUCUUUUCAAGUGCUUGAUUUGUGGAUAAAGUACAAAGCAUAGUUUCAACUUUUCCUACAAUUAGUUGCCAUGAAUGUUAAAUGAGUGCAUUUACUAUGUGCUUAUCUUUCCUAAUUAAUUUAUUCUUUCUAAUUGGUUAUUGGAUAAUUCUUAUAGAUAAAUUCUCCUUUUGUUGUUCAAGGUAGGGAAAUUCAAAGCAAGCUAAUGAAUGAGAGUUUCUUCAACGAUCAGCGUUUGCAUGGUGCUCUGCUCUAUACAUUUUACUUUGAUUUUGCAUGAUUUUUCACUUUUUUUUUCUUAUUCAUAUAUUUUUAUUUUGCAAUUAGGUGUGAGGUUAUAUCAAUAUAAUGAAAUCAAAACAUGACAAGUGGGUUUAUAGAAGUCUCACCUAUGUUUAACUUGAGAAAAAAUAUGGCUUUGUUAAGUUAGGGCUUGUUUAAGUUUUCCAAAUUUGAUUUGAAACCAGUCUUGUGGAAUUAAGGGGAGAUGUAAUUUUAUCUGUAUGUUUUAUAGUUUGUUAUAUAACAAACUAUACAAAUUAUUUCUAGCUGUGCCUAUGGAUUCUAAAAAAGAAAUAAUAUUUUUAGAAGGCAUAACUAACUUAAAAUAAGCUAUUGGUCAACCUUCCCCCUCCUCUUAUGCUUAAGAGUUGGUAAGGUGAAGUGAAAUAGUUCAACGAAGAGGAGGGAAAAUUUUAUUUCAUAUCUAGAUAUCACUAGUUUUUUGAUUGAGAGAGAUUGAGAAUGUGUGUACUAUGAUGUAGAGAGAGAGAGAGACAAGAGAGGCGUUAGAAGAAAGAGAGAGAGAAGAAAGGAUUAUUCACUUCUAUAUCGGAUGUUCGAUUUUGGUUCUUGUAGAAUUCUAGCUAAGAACCAGAAUUGAUAUCAAACUUUCAAUUCUUUAAUUUUUAGGAUUUGGAGACAAAUUUCAAUUUCGAUUCCGUUUCAGUUUUGUCAAGAUAUUCGAAAAUAUUAUUUUUCAUAGUUGUAAUUUCAAUACGGUUUUAAUUGGUUUUAUUUUAACUUAAAUUUUACUGAAAAUAUCAAAUCCAAAUUGAAGAAAAUAUGACUGUUUAAGCUUUUUGUAGACCUUAUAGCCAUGGAAUCUUAUUUGGCUGGAUGUAUUUUCUCUUUAAAAAUGUAAAUUCUGCAUAAUCCUUUGUCUAAAUGCCCAUCUCUUAUUGAAUUGUAUAGAAAUUGUUUUGGAAAUUGUGUUGGCAAGUGAUACAUGAAUUUUCUUAAUGUAUUCCUAUACCUUCUCUCUUCAUAUAUUUGUGUAAUGUUUGUUUAUCGGUAUAAAUCUAUAUCUAUACGAUAGUUUGAUGGACAAGACAAAUAAGGCUUUUAAGUCAGGAAAGAAGUAAAAAAGUUACUGAUAGAGUUUGUUC